rnacentral:rRNA from 1 species
UACAGAGGGGGCAAGCGUUGUUCGGAAUUACUGGGCGUAAAGGGCGCGUAGGCGGCCCGUUAAGUCGAACGUGAAAUCCCUCGGCUUAACCGGGGAACUGCGUCCGAUACUGGAUGACUUGAGUUCGGGAGAGGGAUGCGGAAUUCCUGGUGUAGCGGUGAAAUGCGUAGAUAUCAGGAGGAACACCUGUGGUGUAGACGGCUUACUGGACCGCAACUGACGCUGAGACACGAAAGCGUGGGUAGCAAACAGG